AACGCACAUUGCGCCCGCCAGCACUCUGGCGGGCAUGCCUGUUCGAGCGUCAUUUCAACCCUCGAGCCCCCCCGGGGGCCCGGCGUUGGGGGCCGGCCCUGGCCGCCCCCGAAAUGCAGUGGCGACCUCGCCGCAGCCUCCCCUGCGUAGUAGCACACACCUCGCACCGGAGCGCGGAGACGGUCACGCCGUAAAACGCACCAGCUUUCAAGAGUUGACCUCGGAUCAGGUAGGAAUACCCGCUGAACUUAA
rnacentral:misc_RNA from 1 species